GAUGAACGCUGGCGGCGUGCCUAAUACAUGCAAGUCGAGCGAACGGACGAGAAGCUUGCUUCUCUGAUGUUAGCGGCGGACGGGUGAGUAACACGUGGAUAACCUACCUAUAAGACUGGGAUAACUUCGGGAAACCGGAGCUAAUACCGGAUAAUAUUUUGAACCGCAUGGUUCAAAAGUGAAAGACGGUCUUGCUGUCACUAAUCGAUGGAUCCGCGCUGCAUUAGCUAGUUGGUAAGGUAACGGCUUACCAAGGCAACGAUGCAUAGCCGACCGGAUAGGGUGAUCGGCCACCCUGGAACUGAGACACGGUCCAGGCUCCUACGGGAGGCAGCAGUAGGGAAUCGUCCGCAAUGGGCGAAAGCCUGACGGAGCAACGCCGCGUGAGUGAUGAAGGUCUUCGGAUCGUAAAACUCUGUUAUUAGGGAAGAACAUAUGUGUAAGUAACUGUGCACAUCUUGACGGUACCUAAUCAGAAAGCCACGGCUAACUACGUG
rnacentral:rRNA from 1 species